rnacentral:rRNA from 1 species
GACGAACGCUGGCGGCGUGCUUAACACAUGCAAGUCGAACGGUGAAGCGCCUUCCUUUUUGGUGGGUGUGGAUGAGUGGCGAACGGGUGAGUAACACGUGAGUAACCUGCCCCCUUCUUCUGGAUAACCGCAUGAAAGUGUGGCUAAUACGGGAUAUUCUGGGUCUGUCGCAUGAUGGGUCUGGGAAAGAUAUUGUUUCGGUGGGGGAUGGGCUCGCGGCCUAUCAGCUUGUUGGUGGGGUGAUGGCCUACCAAGGCGGUGACGGGUAGCCGGCCUGAGAGGGUGGACGGUCACACUGGGACUGAGACACGGCCCAGACUCCUUCGGGAGGCAGCAGUGGGGAAUAUUGCACAAUGGGCGCAAGCCUGAUGCAGCGACGCCGCGUGAGGGAUGGAGGCCUUCGGGUUGUGAACCUCUUUCGCCAGUGAAGCAGGCCUGCCUCGUUUGUGGGUGGGUUGACGGUAGCUGGAUAAGAAGCGCCGGCUAACUACGUG